rnacentral:snRNA from 1 species
UCACCUUCUCAGGAGUGGUCAGAGAACAACCCCCGCAAGCAAUCAGUCAUUGUCUGAAUAUGAAGCAAAAAAUAUAAACUCAAUGGAUUUUUGGAGCUGGGAGUUGGAAUAGGAGCUUGCUCCGUCCACUCCACGCAUCGACCUGGUAUUGCAGUACUUCCAGGAACGGUGCACCCCCU